UGACACUGCACUUCAGCCUAGGCAACAAGAGCGAUACUCCAUCUAAAAAAAAAAAAAAAAAAAAAAAGCCAAAUUUAUGUGGUAAGGAGUCAUUUUAUGUUCCAAUCUCUCCCCACGUGUUAUGCUUGUUGAAAAUAUAACUUUUUAAACAUUCUAGAUAAAUUAUGGUUGAUAUGCUUUAUCACUAAGAAAAAUGAGGACAAAAAUGAGGACGUUUUACAUCAUUUCUCUAAUUUUUGAAGCCUCCUGCAACUGUUCACUAGUUCUUUUGUCUGCAUAACAGAAUUCCUGCUCAUAAAUAGUAGCCAGAUGUUUGUGAAAUAAAUGAGGCAGUAUGCUGGAUGGAGCAUGCCUCCAAACCAAGUGUACAGUAUAGAUAGUGCCUCCCUUUUAUUGUUUAAAAAAAUUAUUUGAUGAUACUCUUCAAGUAUAGUAAGUCAGACUUUAUUCAGCAUCUUCGAGAUAAGUAUAGGGACCACUGUAAUGGGAUUUUGUAGUUGGGGAAAGAUUGUGCUCAACUCUCAACACAGCAUGGGCAAGUGAGAAUUUAUAGCCAAAGACCUAUAAGGGGGUAGGGCAAUCAGAGGGUGGAAAAUUAUUAAGAGGAUACAUCGGGGAUGAGGGAGAUUCUGGAAGCAACAUAAUUCUUGCUGAAGACGUGAUCAGACUGGUGGAGAAUGAAGAGCAAGGAUUGGGGAGGUUCUUGUUAAAACUAGAUUUUACAACUUGCACGGAUAAGCCUAGGCUUGACUGAAGUUUGGUCAGGCAGUGUAUCUGUCACAAUCAAAAGAUUCAUAUUAAAAGAAUCAAUUGAGAAACAAGGAUAGAUUGAGAAAGUAACCAGUUUAGAUGUAUUUGAUGACGGAAAGAUUAGCUAGGUCACUGGAAAACAUGAAAUCUGUAUAUCAAAAUAAUCCUACAUUACAUCUACUUAAAGGAUAAAAAUGGCAGAAUGAAAGAAUUAUGAGUGGGACUAGAAAAUAGGAAAGACACGAACCAACACCUCAAAUGAGAAAGAAGGAUAUAUAAAGAAAAAGACAAAUACAUGUGAAAAAAACAGACUAAUGGAUUAACAUCUCUGUUGUGUGACAUUAUCUGUGACAGCUGAAGAUGUUGAACCCUGUGAUGCAUUUUUGCAAAUGUGUAUAAAGUAGAAUAUAACUUUGGCCAGUAAUUGUCCAUAGAUUCAAAAAGGAGCCAACCUUUUUGUUUGUAGUGUGAUGUUCCUUGUUCCCUCAAAGGUAACCUUUACACAGAAGAUGUUCAGUUAAACUAAUUCUACCA